GAUGAAGAACGUAGCGAAAUGCGAUAAGUAAUGUGAAUUGCAGAAUUCAGUGAACCAUCGAAUCUUUGAACGCACAUUGCGCCCGCCAGCACUCUGGCGGGCAUGCCUGUCCGAGCGUCAUUUCAACCCUCAGGGCCCCUUCGGGGGACCUGGCGUUGGGGAUCGGCCCGCCCCCGUGCGGCGCCGUCCCCGAAAUAUAGUGGCGGUCUCGCUGCAGCCUCCCCUGCGUAGUAGCACACCUCGCACUGGAGAGCGGCGCGGCCACGCCGUGAAACCCCCAACUUCUGAAUGUUGACCUCGGAUCAGGUAGGAAUACCCGCUGAACUUAAGCAUAUCAAUAAGCGGAGGA
rnacentral:misc_RNA from 1 species